rnacentral:lncRNA from 1 species
UUAACGAUUUAAAAUUUAAAAUGUAAAUAUAAAUUUAAUUUAGAAUUAGAUGUGACAUUUUGAAUUAAAAAUAAAUUAAAAUUUUGAUACUUUUAGAUUAAAAUAUAUAUCCAAUCUUCUAAAUCUCGUCAUACUUACCUAUCAUCUCUUUAUCAGAUAUCGAGCAUAUUUUGAUAUUUAACCUCCCAAUCUUCUUAUUCUUAUCCCAAUUUUAUAUAUACUUAUUAUUUUUCACACAUAAUACCCUCCACCUAUGCAUUUGUCACUACAUAGGUGGCGUCGACACAUCGUUGUUGUCACCUUCACCGGCACAUCUUUAUCCUCUUUCUCACCGGCACAACUUCGUUGUCACCUUUGCUAGCAUGACGUCGUCGUCUUCACACUGCAUGUAUAUCGACGGAAGUACACGAAUUAUGUCAGCGUUGUUUAUGGUCUACUGACAUGUCAUCGGUGGUCGAGAUACAUGCAUAUGCAAGUCAUUGGUGGUCAACAAUGUAUGCGUUGAUAAUUCAUAUACACAUCAAUCUAAAUACUCUUCAUCCUCAUAUAUCUAUUGCUAAUAUAUUUUUUUUAAAAAAAAAUUUUCUUUCUUUUCUAUUACUAAUAUAUAUUUUUUUAAUAAUUUAAUUUUUAGUUAGAUUUAUUAUUUUUAAAUUAAAGAUCUCAAAGUCUCAUCCCAAUUGUUUUUCUUUUAUUAUCUUUAAUUUCUUCCUAAACAAGUUUAAUAAUUAAAUUCAAAUUAUAUUUCAUUUUCUUUAGUUAACAUAUUUUAAUAAUAUAAUUUUUCUUUACAUAUAAUAUACUAACACUUUAUAUCAAAUUUUAAUACAUAAAUGCUAUAUUAAUUUUCUAUCAUCUGCACAUACCCAAUUUAUAUAAAAGUAUACC